GACGAACGCUGGCGGCGUGCCUAAUACAUGCAAGUAGAACGCUGAAGAGAGGAGCUUGCUCUUCUUGGAUGAGUUGCGAACGGGUGAGUAACGCGUAGGUAACCUGCCUGGUAGCGGGGGAUAACUAUUGGAAACGAUAGCUAAUACCGCAUAAAAUUGAUUAUUGCAUGAUAAUUAAUUGAAAGAUGCAAUUGCAUCACUACCAGAUGGACCUGCGUUGUAUUAGCUAGUUGGUGAGGUAACGGCUCACCAAGGCGACGAUACAUAGCCGACCUGAGAGGGUGAUCGGCCACACUGGGACUGAGACACGGCCCAGACUUCUACGGGAGGCAGCAGUAGGGAAUCUUCGGCAAUGGGGGGAACCCUGACCGAGCAACGCCGCGUGAGUGAAGAAGGUUUUCGGAUCGUAAAGCUCUGUUGUAAGAGAAGAACGGGUGUGAGAGUGGAAAGUUCACACUGUGACGUAUCUACCAGGAAGGACG
rnacentral:rRNA from 1 species